rnacentral:rRNA from 1 species
CCACAGCAGGGUGGACACACCCGUUCCCAUCCCGAACACGGAAGUUAAGCACCCUUGCGCCGAUGGUACUGCCUCUGGCGGGAGAGUAGGUAGUCGCCGGAU